rnacentral:rRNA from 1 species
UACAGAGGGUGCUAGCGUUGUUCGGAAUUACUGGGCGUAAAGGGCGCGUAGGCGGUACUUCAAGUCAGGCGUGAAAGCCCCGGGCUCAACCUGGGAACCGCGCUUGAGACUGGAGAACUAGAGUUCGGGAGAGGAUGGUGGAAUUCCCAGUGUAGAGGUGAAAUUCGUAGAUAUUGGGAAGAACACCGAUGGCGAAGGCAGCCAUCUGGACCGACACUGACGCUGAGGCGCGAAAGCGUGGGGAGCAAACAGG